rnacentral:rRNA from 1 species
ACGAACGCUGGCGGCAUGCCUAACACAUGCAAGUCGAACGAGAUCUUCGGAUCUAGUGGCGCACGGGUGCGUAACGCGUGGGAAUCUGCCCCUUGCUUCGGAAUAACAGUGAGAAAUUACUGCUAAUACCGGAUGAUGUCUACGGACCAAAGAUUUAUCGGCAAGGGAUGAGCCCGCGUAGGAUUAGGUAGUUGGUGGGGUAAUGGCCUACCAAGCCGACGAUCCUUAGCUGGUCUGAGAGGAUGAUCAGCCACACUGGGACUGAGACACGGCCCAGACUCCUACGGGAGGCAGCAGUGGGGAAUAUUGGACAAUGGGCGAAAGCCUGAUCCAGCAAUGCCGCGUGAGUGAUGAAGGCCUUAGGGUUGUAAAGCUCUUUUACCAGGGAUGAUAAUGACAGUACCUGGAGAAUAAGCUCCGGCUAACUCCGU